ACGACAACCAUAUCAGACGGAGUGUUUUCGAUACGAUCAAAGGCCAUUUCACAGAUGUGCAUCCUAAUUCGACCCUGACUUCGAGGCACAUUAAGACUACAUGGUUCAAAUAUUUUUCGGUUAGUUAUUUUAUUUCAAAAUUUUAAAAAAUUAUUUAAAAUUAAUAUUGGUUAAUUUUAAAUAUUUUCAGAUGCAGCAAAAAUGGAACUAGUCCAUUGGGAUCAACGAGCAAGUGAAGAAGAAGUUCAAAGAGAAGGUGAAUAAGCGCCUAUGCAACACCGUCUCUGACUGGAAGGUCAUUUAUGAGCAGAGAGGGUAUAAUGCAAUUCCACCCGGACUCACAAAAGAUGUAUAGGAAGGACUCAUCAGAUAUUGGAACGACUUCCACUCCUCGCUGAUUGCCGGACAGUGCUCCAGUUCUUGGAUGAUGAAGGAUGAGAACGAGCAUUUACCGAUGGUCCACAAAACCGGUCAACUAUCACAUGCAUGUGUCCAUCUAAACAUGGUCAAAAUAAAAACAAUGGAGUGUUGCCAUCGCUCCCUGAUCUUUUUCGGGCAACCAACUCGAAUGAUGGCGUUUUUGUGGAUUCGUGCUCUGAGAAGAUCCACAGUGAUAUGUCUGCUCGGAUUGCUGAACGCCAGAAUCAGCUAAGGCAAGAGUCACCCCAUGGAGUUCCUUUGAGUUGUGUACCGUUGAGUUGGACAACAAUUUUUGAGGAGGUGGUGUAAUUUUUUCUAUUAUUUCAUAUUUAUUAAUUAUUUAAUAUUUUUAAAAUUAAUUUUUUUUUAAAAUUAUUAAUUAGUUUUUUUUAGAUAGGUUGUCCCUAAGAAAAAUGGACGGGUGUUGGGCAUAGUAUCUAUAAACGAUGUUCCACGGGCGAUAUCGUCUUAUGCCCAGAGACAGUCUACAUAGACUGCUCAGAUGCACACAGAUUUGGAUAACAACCAAGCUUAAUGGAUGUCCUUCGAGAGUGUGUUCGACCUUAUGAACGUCGGAAACCCGCAGAUGCAAGAGAUGUUGGGGGCUAGCCGGGAGAGGCUCAUCAUUCGACGCCAAACUGCGGAACAGGAAGCGGUGAAUUUAGAGCGAACCAAUGUUAGAGACGUUUUCCAGGACAAAGACCUUCCCUAGAUUUUUUUUGUAUAACAUUUGAAUAUAUUAAUUUAUAUUUUUUCGGAAUUAAUUUAUU